CAGUAGGGGUUCUGAGAGGAAGGUCCCCCACAUUGGAACUGAGACACGGUCCAAACUCCUACGGGAGGCAGCAGUGAGGAAUAUUGGUCAAUGGGCGAGAGCCUGAACCAGCCAAGUAGCGUGCAGGAUGACGGCCCUAUGGGUUGUAAACUGCUUUUAUAGGGGAAUAAAGUGAUCCACGUGUGGUUUUUUGCAUGUACCCUAUGAAUAAGGACCGGCUAAUUCCGUGCCAGCAGCCGCGGUAAUACGGAAGGUCCGGGCGUUAUCCGGAUUUAUUGGGUUUAAAGGGAGCGUAGGCCGGAGAUUAAGCGUGUUGUGAAAUGUAGAUGCUCAACAUCUGCACUGCAGCGCGAACUGGUUUCCUUGAGUACGCAUAAAGUGGGCGGAAUUCGUGGUGUAGCGGUGAAAUGCUUAGAUAUCACGAAGAACUCCGAUUGCGAAGGCAGCUCACUGGGGCGCAACUGACGCUGAAGCUCGAAAGCGCGGGUAUCGAACAGGAUUAGAUACCCUGGUAGUCCGCGCGGUAAACGAUGGAUGCCCGCUGUUGGGCCAACUGGUUCAGCGGCCAAGCGAAAGCAUUAAGCAUCCCACCUGGGGAGUACGCCGGCAACGGUGAAACUCAAAGGAAUUGACGGGGGCCCGCACAAGCGGAGGAACAUGUGGUUUAAUUCGAUGAUACGCGAGGAACCUUACCCGGGCUUGAAUUGCAGAGGAAGGAUUUGGAGACAAUGACGCCCUUCGGGGCCUCUGUGAAGGUGCUGCAUGGUUGUCGUCAGCUCGUGCCGUGAGGUGUCGGCUUAAGUGCCAUAACGAGCGCAACCCCUCUCCAUAGUUGCCAUCAGGUUAAGCUGGGCACUCUGUGGACACUGCCACCGUAAGGUGUGAGGAAGGUGGGGAUGACGUCAAAUCAGCACGGCCCUUACGUCCGGGGCUACACACGUGUUACAAUGGCAGGUACAGAGAGCCGGUCGUAUGCAAAUACGAUCCAAUCCUUAAAGCCUGUCUCAGUUCGGACUGGGGUCUGCAACCCGACCCCACGAAGCUGGAUUCGCUAGUAAUCGCGCAUCAGCCAUGGCGCGGUGAAUACGUUCCCGGGCCUUGUACACACCGCCCGUCAAGCCAUGAAAGCCGGGGGCGCCUGAAGUCCGUGACCGCAAGGAUCGGCCUAGGGCGAAACUGGUAAUUGGGGCUAAGUCGUAACAAGGUA
rnacentral:rRNA from 1 species